GAACGCUGGCGGCAUGCCUUACACAUGCAAGUCGAACGGCAGCACGGGAGCAAUCCUGGUGGCGAGUGGCGAACGGGUGAGUAAUAUAUCGGAACGUGCCCAGUCGUGGGGGAUAACGUAGCGAAAGCUACGCUAAUACCGCAUACGAUCUAUGGAUGAAAGCGGGGGAUCGCAAGACCUCGCGCGAUUGGAGCGGCCGAUAUCAGAUUAGGUAGUUGGUGAGGUAAAGGCUCACCAAGCCGACGAUCUGUAGCUGGUCUGAGAGGACGACCAGCCACACUGGGACUGAGACACGGCCCAGACUCCUACGGGAGGCAGCAGUGGGGAAUUUUGGACAAUGGGCGCAAGCCUGAUCCAGCAAUGCCGCGUGCAGGAUGAAGGCCUUCGGGUUGUAAACUGCUUUUGUACGGAACGAAAAGGUUUCUAUUAAUACUAGGAGCUCAUGACGGUACCGUAAGAAUAAGCACCGGCUAACUACGUG
rnacentral:rRNA from 1 species